CGACUCUCGGCAACGGAUAUCUCGGCUCACGCAUCGAUGAAGAACGUAGCAAAAUGCGAUACUUGGUGUGAAUUGCAGAAUCCCGUGAACCAUCGAGUUUUUGAACGCAAGUUGCGCCCGAAGCCUUCUGGCCGAGGGCACGUCUGCCUGGGCGUCACGC
rnacentral:rRNA from 2 species